rnacentral:lncRNA from 10 species
CACAUCUUCGCAUGUCCCCCACACAUCACACGCACACAAGCGUUCCCGCACACGCGCGCCUCCCCACGUACGCACCUCUCUAUACCCCUUCAUACACACUCAUGCCUUCUCAACACACGUACCAGCCCACUUGCACGCACUUGCAAGCGCUUGCACCCUCCACACGCACCGCUCGGAGCUUUUCCCCCUCUCUCCUCCCAAUGGCUGGCUUCUGGAGCCGACCCUUCCACGCGCCCCCAGCUUCGCGGCAGCUAGGUCCCUCCCCAGCGCGCUGAGCUCACAGCGCAGGAGCCGGUCGCAGCCACACAGGCCGGUCCGACGGGACCACUGCUUCCCUCCUCACAUCCCAGGAGACACCAGGUGGGGCGUGGCACCUCCCACACACGGCUGGAGGGACUCCCAGGAUUUCCCGUCCUUCCGAAUUCGUGGGGGGUCAGAGGACUGCGGGGAGGCGUUUCUCAUCCUCGCUGGGGAAAGGACUCACCUGGUUCCCAAAGCCAGUUUGCUCUUCCUCUACUUCCUGCCAGAGGUCGUAGGAUUUCUGAUGAUCUGCCCUGAUGUCCCAACAUUCUUGGGGAGCCUGGCCUUAAAGAACAAUGGAAAGAAGCAGUCAUAGGAAUCCUGGACCAGGAAUAUGUGCCUGAGAGGGAUUAUACACCUGGUGCUGACGGAGUCUUGCUCUGUUGUCCAGGCUGGAGUGCAGUGGCAUGAUCUCGGCUCAAUUCAACCUCCACCUCCCAAGUUCAAGUGAUUCUCCAGCCUCAGCCCCCAAACCCCCCCAACCCCGCCGAGUAGCUGGGACUAUAGGCAUGCGCCACCAUUCCCGGCUAAUUUUUGUAUUUUUAGUAGAGAUGGGUUUCAUCAUGUUGGCCAGGCUGGUCUCGAACACCUGACCUCAAGCGAUCCAUCCACCUUCGGCCUCCUAAAGUGCUAGGAUUACAGGUGUAAGCCACCAAGUAACUGUUUGGAACAUGGAAGAAAAAGGUGGGAGAUAUAACCUAUGUUUUUCAUCUGGUAUUUUAUGUACAUAGCUAUAAAAUUUUUUGUGAAAUGAGGCAGAAACCUCCUUUCUAUCUCGUCAGAACCAUGUAAUUAGAUCUUAAAAAGACUGAAGAAAUAAUCGAUUCCUACUCCAUCACUUAAGAGACAGAAAUAUGGGGCCUAGAGAGGGGAGAGGCUUAUCCAGCAUCACAUUGCUACUAAAUGACAGGGCAAGGCUUGAGCCAGAUCUUCUGAGUCCUAUCCAGUGUUCUUUCCAAUCUACUGCUUGUUUUGUAAAGCAUGGCACUUGCUUAUAAAUCCCUCUGAAGAAAUAAAACUCUCUAGCUCUCAUCCUUGUGUAUUUACCCUAGAAAUAUGAACAUUUAUGUCCACACAAAAACCUUACACGAAUGGUCAUAACAGCUUUGUUUCUAUUAGCAAAAAACUGGAAACAACUGAAAUGCUCUUCACCGUGGGCACAUAUAAACAAAUUGUAGAAUAUUCACAUAGUAGAAUACUACUUAGUAAUAAAAAAUAAAAAACUAUUGAUGUACACAACAAAUUCAGUGGCUCUCAGGGCCAUUAUGAUGAGUGACAUAGCAAAUCACAGUAUUUUACAUACUAUAUGAUUCCAUUUACAUAACAUUCUAGAAAUGAGAAAAUUAUAGUAAUGAUGAACAUAUCAGUGGUUGCUGGGGGACAGAUGUGCCUAUAAAGAAGUAGCACAAAUGAGUUUUGGGGGGAUGAUAAAACAAUAAUGUCCUAAUUACAGUGGUGAUUACAAGAAUCUAUAAAUGUGAUAAGAUUAAUAGAACUAUCCACCCCCCCCCCAAAAAAAGUUGAGUGCAUGCAAAAGCUGGUAAAAAUCAAAUGAGGUCUAUAGUUUGCUCAAUAGAAUUAUUGUACCAAUGACAGUUUCCUAGUUCUGAUAGUUGUGUGGUUAUGUAAGAUGUUAACAUUAGAGAAGGUUAGUUAAAUGUAUGUGGGAACUCUCUGUAUUAUUUUAGCAACUUUUAUGUAAGAUUAAACUUAUUUUUAAAAAGAAAAAAGAAAGAAAACUCUCUAGAAGUCCCAUAAUGUUUUAGGCAGGCCUGGUCAACCAACAUUUCUGUAGUUUUCUGAAGUUCUAAUAUAUCUUCAGGCCUUUGCUCAACUGGCGUUCUCUCUCUCUCUCUCUCUUUCACACACACACACACACACACACACACACACACACACUCACCCCACUCUGUAACCUAGUUUAUUUUUAUCCGUAAUACUUAUAAUCCCUAAUAAAAAUAUGUUUGUUUAUUGUGUGUCUCCUCCCAUUAGAAUGUAAGCUCCUUAAGUUUAAGCACUUUUUGUUCACUGUAUCCCUAACACCUAGAAUAGUGCUUGUCACACAGUAAAUGCUCAGUAAAUAUUUGUUGAAUGAAUGAAUGUGUGUAGGCAUUGAAAUAAAGGUAUUAUGAAAAAAGGUAUUGUAUACUAUGUUACAUUUCUUUAUUACAUGAGACAAAUUUCUCUUUCAUUUU